rnacentral:rRNA from 1 species
CGUACACUCCUACGGGAGGCAGCAGUGGGGAAUUUUGGACAAUGGGCGAAAGCCUGAUCCAGCCAUGCCGCGUGCAGGAUGAAGGCCUUCGGGUUGUAAACUGCUUUUGUACGGAACGAAACGGCCUUUUCUAAUAAAGAGGGCUAAUGACGGUACCGUAAGAAUAAGCACCGGCUAACUACGUGCCAGCAGCCGCGGUAAUACGUAGGGUGCAAGCGUUAAUCGGAAUUACUGGGCGUAAAGCGUGCGCAGGCGGUUAUGUAAGACAGUUGUGAAAGCCCCGGGCUCAACCUGGGAACUGCAUCUGUGACUGCAUGGCUAGAGUACGGUAGAGGGGGAUGGAAUUCCGCGUGUAGCAGUGAAAUGCGUAGAUAUGCGGAGGAACACCGAUGGCGAAGGCAAUCCCCUGGACCUGUACUGACGCUCAUGCACGAAAGCGUGGGGAGCAAACAGGAUUAGAAACCCCGGUAGUCCCAUGA